GACGUAGGGCGCGAGCGUUGUCCGGAUUUAUUGGGCGUAAAGAGCUCGUAGGCGGCUUGUCGCGUCGUUCGUGAAAACCUGGGGCUCAACUCCAGGCUUGCGGGCGAUACGGGCAGGCUAGAGUUCGGUAGGGGAGACUGGAAUUCCCGUGGUGUAGCGGUGAAAUGCGCAGAUAUCGGAGGAGACCACGUGGCGAAGGCGGC
rnacentral:rRNA from 1 species